UUUAAACAUACUGUUACUUAAUUAAAAAUAUUUACAAUACACUUCCGUUAUUUCAACUUGUGCGCGCCCACAACAAGUGUGUUUCAAAAAUGCGUCGCCGGCCACCUGUGCGUAUGAGCAUUCUCCGCAAGUGAAGCAAGCGAAGUAAAGUGUCAGUGCCAAAAACAUAGCAGCCACUAAUGCCUAAAAGUGUUAAAUAAAUUAGUGUAUACAAUUAAAUACUUUACAUUGCACGAAAAAAAAAAAAAAUUUUGGAAUUGAAAAAAAAUAACAAAAACAACCGCGCAUAGCCACAGUCAGUGUCAAGGUUGCCUGGCAGCCGCGCGGGCGUUUGCACCGACGGGCGUUGCUGUCAGUGAGACACUUAACAGCACAACGCAAGCGGCCACUGUCGCGUACUCAAUUGCUGCUAAUUAAUCACAGCUGCUGAAUGGUUAGUGGCGCAUAAAAUGAAUUAACAGAUCAAUUAAAAUGCAUCACGAGCCAGCAGCGCGCUCUUAGUAGUAAAUCUCCCAAAAAACCUGAUUCGUACAAUAUGGCUUCGAUGCACAAUGGCAAUCAACGAAUGUCAAUAAAAGUAAAAAAUAGAAAAAAGUGUAAAACUAUCCAACAAGAGAUUUCACAUUCCUCACGAAUGAGAAAAUGCGAACAAAAGCAAUUGCAAAAACUGCAAAUAGCAAGAGAUAUGAGAUAUGAGCUGAAGCAGAGCUUCAACAUUUUAUACGUAAGUGUUAAACCGACAACAAAAAAUUCUGAAGAAACAACAAUAACAACAACUAGAUGUCACACUAAGACAGUGCAGACGGCAUUUUACGAGCUAUGAAAGACAUGUCAAAGCGUUAAUGUAAGAGAAAUCACAACCAGCGAAGUAAAAAAAAGUAAAUACAAACAAAUUACAAAAGAAAUA